AACGCACAUUGCGCCCCUUGGUAUUCCGGGGGGCAUGCCUGUUCGAGCGUCAUUAUAACCCUCAAGCCUAGCUUGGUGUUGGGGCCUGCCUCCGGGCAGCCCUUAAAAUCAGUGUUGCAGCGCCGCCUGGCUCUAAGCGUAGUAAUCUCUCUCGCUAUAGCGUCCGGCGGCUGCCUGCCAGAAAACCCCCAAUUCUAUGGUUGACCUCGGAUCAGGUAGGGAUACCCGCUGAACUUAA
rnacentral:misc_RNA from 1 species